GGGGCCGUGCCUGAAGUAAAGGACCACUUUGAUAGAGUGAAUUAUGGGGGUUAAAGUCCCCCCGACCCCU
rnacentral:tRNA from 1 species